rnacentral:rRNA from 1 species
GAUGAACGCUGGCGGCGUGCUUAACACAUGCAAGUCGAACGAGAAGUGAAGACGGAAACCUUCGGGCGGAAGGCUUUAUUUCGAGUGGCGGACGGGUGAGUAACGCGUGGGUAACCUGCCUCAUACAGGGGGAUAACAGUUGGAAACGACUGUUAAUACCGCAUAAGACCACAGCACCGCAUGGUGCGGGGGUAAAAACUCCGGUGGUAUGAGAUGGACCCGCGUUCGAUUAGCCAGUUGGCGGGGUAACGGCCCACCAAAGCGACGAUCGAUAGCCGAUCUGAGAGGAUGACCGGCCACAUUGGGACUGAGACACGGCCCAAACUCCUACGGGAGGCAGCAGUGGGGAAUAUUGCACAAUGGGGGAAACCCUGAUGCAGCGACGCCGCGUGAGUGAAGAAGUAUUUCGGUAUGUAAAGCUCUAUCAGCAGGGAAGAAAAUGACGGUACCUGAGUAAGAAGCCCCGGCUAACAACGUG